rnacentral:rRNA from 1 species
CACGUAGGGGGCGAGCGUUGUCCGGAUUUAUUGGGCGUAAAGAGCUCGUAGAUGGCUUAGUAAGUCGGGUGUGAAACCUCCAGGCUCAACCUGGAGACGCCACCCGAUACUGCUAUAGCUUAAGCCCGGUAGGGGAGCGUGGAAUUCCUGGUGUAGCGGUGAAAUGCGCAGAUAUCAGGAGGAACACCAGCGGCGAAGGCGGCGCUCUGGGCCGGUACUGACACUGAGGCACGAAAGCGUGGGGAGCAAACAGG